UCGUGUCGUGAGAUGUUGGGUUAAGUCCCGCAACGAGCGCAACCCUCACCUCUUGUUGCCAUCAGGUCAUGCUGGGCACUCUAGAGGAACUGCCCCGGUCAACGGGGAGGAAGGCGGGGAUGACGUCAAGUCAUCAUGCCCCUUACGUCCUGGGCUACACACGUGCUACAAUGGCCGGUACAAAGGGAUGCCACACCGCGAGGUAGAGCUAAACCCAAAAAGCCGGUCUAAGUUCAGAUUGGAGUCUGCAACUCGACUCCAUGAAGGAGGAAUCGCUAGUAAUCGC
rnacentral:rRNA from 1 species